CAAGGAUUCUGGCGCAGGUGGCAGGGCGGCCUGCUGUGCUGUGGGCGGCCUACUGUGGUGUUGGGCAGCGCUGGGCCCGUGAGCUAAGACCAGGUCUAAAACCAGACUCACCAAGGCUCUCACUCAGUGAUCCCGCUUUAUUUCUUUUAUCUGUUUUAUUCCACUUUUUUCUGUUUCGUUUUUACAUUGUACGUAUUCUCUGCACGUGCUGUGCAGAGGCAACAGCGAGGCAGGUAUCCCCAGAGCUGCAUAGCAUCCAUCCAUCUGAGCUGAGAGCAGGGAGAGAGGCCUGGAAAAGCCAUUCUCACUCCUCUCGAGGCCUGUGUGGACAUCGGCUUCACCGUCCCGGGCCCAGAGUCACUGUUUUUCCCAGGGCUCUGAGGGUGGGCCGAAGGGGUGUGCGUGCACUUUCUUCCUUCUGGCUGGAGUGGGGGGAUCAGGUGAGAAGAGGCUGCCCCAUCUGCACCCCUGGCUGCAGAGCCGCCCUGACAGCCUCUCGGGGCCUGUGGGUCUCGGGGGGGGGGCACCCACCCUUUCAGUGCCAGCAUCUUGGCCUUGGCUCGGCCACAUCUACGAGCAGCCAGCGCUGCCCUUGCCAAGAAGUCUUCUGUGGUCCCAGCGCCAAGGAUUUAUAGCUCCCCGUGGACAGAGGCUGUGUGGUUCCCCUUCAGCGCUCGCAGCCCUCUUCCUGGGCCUGGGAAGGCCAUCAGCCCUGCAGAAAGCAAGUCCUUCCGUGGUGUUCCUGGUCCUUGCAGAGGGUUCUUCCGGGGCCUGCGGAGGCAGAGCCCCAGGGGUGCCAGAAACUUUCCCGGCCUUUGGCGCAGAAAGCCCUUGGGACUGGAGCACAAGAGUUAAGUUCUGGGCUGAGGCUUCAGGGUUCAAUUCCAUUAUUUCCUGCCGAUGACACUACUGCCUUCCUAUGGCCAUUGACACAUGUUGCUUUCAUCUGUUUCAUUUCAAGACAUGAGUACACUCACUGGAAACUAUGCUUAAUAGCUAAACUCAAAACAUUUGGAUUUCCUUUCCUUCUUGACUCUUUGCUGGUAUGCUGCAUUCUCUCGUGGGUUGGUUUUUUGGGUGGUGGUGGCUUUUUUUUUUUUUUUUCCAAGCCACCAUUUUUAACCGAGCAAAGAGAAGCCAGUGGCUUUCUGGCCAAUUGGCUCAGGCCCGUUCUCUAUAUAUGGGCUAUUUCACUUCCUGGGGGAGCCAUUGGCUCCUGCAGCCCCCUCGUUGUGGUGGUUAAACAGCAUCUCCCAGCCUCUUUCUUCGCCCAGCUCCUCCCCGUGUCAGGGAGAGAACUGGCCUGUUUAACUAUAGGACGGGCCGUGGGGUCUCCGAAAGGUUGCUGCUUCCUUGAGCUCCGUGACUCAUGGCUUGGACCUUCUGAAUGGAGCCUCCAGAGCAGAGGUGAACAGACUCAAAACGGCUAGGUGAUCUGCAGUCUUCGGAAAGGUCACCUGUGUCCCUCUCCACCUCCCUCCUUAAACAAAGGUACAUUGUCUAAGGUGGCACUUUUC
rnacentral:lncRNA from 1 species